rnacentral:tRNA from 1 species
GGGGUUGUAGCUCAGUGGUAGAGCACUCACCUAGCAUGUGCAAGGCCCUGAGUUUGAUCCUCAGCACCA